GACGAACGCUGGCGGCGUGCUUAACACAUGCAAGUCGAACGAAGUGGCGACCGGGUGAGUAACGCGUAAUCAACCUGCCCUUCAGAGGGGGACAACAGUUGGAAACGACUGAUAAUACCGCAUACUGAAGGAGGGGAUUGCGUCUGAUUAGCUAGUUGGCGGGGUCACGACCCACCAAGGCGAUGAUCAGUAGCAGGUCGGAGAGGAUGAACGGCCACAUUGGGACUGAGACACGGCCCAGACUCCUAAGGGAGGCAGCAGUGGGGAAUCGUCCGCAAUGGACGAAAGUCUGACGGAGCAACGCAGCGGGAGGGAUGACGGCCUUCGGGUUGUAAAGCUCUGUUAAUCGGGACGCGGUACCGGAAUAGAAAGCCACGGCUAACUACGUGCCAGCAGCCGCGGUAAUUC
rnacentral:rRNA from 1 species